ensembl:miRNA
GGCCGGGGAGCUGGGGAAAGCAGGAGUGAGGGUCUGCACCCCAGUAAGCCUCGUUCUGCUUUCCCCACAGGCACCCCUCAUGCCC